UCAGGUGGUUGGGCGGUCGCUGUCCUGCUCUUUAACGGGUAGGAGAGAGGAAAGUCCGGGCUCCACGGAAGAACGGUGCCGGCUAACGGCCGGCGAGGGUAACCUUAGGGAAAGUGCCACAGAAAACAGACCGCCUUCCGGGUCUGACUUUGUAAAAUCCUUAUGGGAUUUUAUGGGACAGGCUGAAGGUAAGGGUGAAACGGUGCGGUAAGAGCGCACCGCUCCGCUGGUAACAGAGGAGGCACGGUAAACCCCACCGGGAGCAAAACCGAAUAGGAACGGCAGAAACCCUUGUGGUUUCGGGGGUUCUUCCGCCCUGCUGUUCGGGUUGGUUGCGAGAGGCAUGUUGCAAAACAUGCCCUAGACGAAUGACCGUCCAGCCUCCUUACGGAGGUGGACAGAACCCGGCUUACAGACCACCUGACACU
rfam:Acetobacter pasteurianus IFO 3283-01 DNA, complete genome.